ACAUGCCAAUGACCUAUUGGGUGCGUGACCUUUUGAACCUGCAAUGUGGGUUACAAAGUGGCUACAAAAGACAAUUAUUUGAGAGAGCCAAUGGUAUGAUAACCAAGGAUAUCUUGCAAGUGGGACAUGAGGCAAAACAGACAUACUUGAUGUUUAAUUUAGAGACUUUAACCAGUUGAUGAACUGGUGGGUUACAAAGUGGCUACAAAAGACAAUUAUUUGAGAGAGCCAAUGGUAUGAUAACCAAGGAUAUCUUGCAAGUGGGACAUGAGGCAAAACAGACAUACUUGAUGUUUAAUUUAGAGACUUUAACCAGUUGAUGAACUGAUGGGUUGCAAAGUGGCUAUCAAGAAUAUCUUGAAAGGACACGAAGCAAUACAGAAAUUCAAAGACUUUAUCCAGUUGAUAAGCUAGUAAGUGAAGUUUAUGAGUUUACUGAAUGUUAUUCUCUUUAAAGGGACUCCACCGAGGUUUUAAGACAUGACAGGACUGGAAACAAUUUUUUGAGAUUAUUACUCCAUUUGAUGUAGAUCUAUAUUAAUAACUUAUGUGCAAAAUUUCAGAUCAUUAGCUCGUUCCGUUUCUCCAGAAUAAUUAUUAUAAUAGUGAAAAAUGACCCAAAAUUGAAAAGCGUUUAAACGCUUUUUACUCAAAUCGGACUGAGAAUAGCACAAACAUACGAUUUUCAAUGUAUUUCUUGUAUAUUUCUUAGUUAUAUCUUAUUUAUAUUUCUGUUUUAAGUGCUCGUGUUGAUCUAUGUGAAAAAUUGAAAUUUUAUGUUUUAGCCUUAUAAACCUCAGUGGAGUUCCUUUAAUAUUAAUGAAAUUUACGUUUGAAUUUGAAAUUGUAAUGUGUCAAGAAGUUAAUAGUGUGAUUUGGUGUGACUUCAAAUGUAACCUGCCUUUGCAGAUAGUGGCGGCAAGGCCAAGUGGUUA